CUCACAAGUCGAAGCUGCGGUGAAGAUAGAUGCUGGUUGUUUUUAAUUAAACCUGAUGGCUAUGUCUUCAGGGGAUCAACCAGCUCAUAGGCCUUAUCCGUCUGUAGUGAUUUGCUUUUCGCAUUGAUGACAAGUAGAAAUUUAACAGAGAAAGCUGAUAUAGACCUGGUGAUGUACACAUGGAGAUAUUUCUGCCUGCAGAAUUUUUCCUGGUUACACAGCCACUCCAUGCAUAGAAAUAUUAAAUAUUGACUUCAAGAUCUAGAAAGACUCAAAUAGCUGGCUUACCAAACCCAUUACAUGGUUCCACAGUGUCAUUCCUACCCAUGAAUAUUUCUGUGUAGAAGAUGGAGAAAGCAUUUAAGAAUCUGCAUAUUAAGCUGAAGUCAUGUGGAAACACUGGAGAUGAAAUUUGACCUUCAUCCUGAAGAUGGCCAUCAAAAUGGUGUGGGGAGAAGCCGAUCUAUCUAUCUGUCUGGAAUUGAGAAGAGAUAAAAUAUUCAGCUAAGUGUAUGUAUCACAUAAGACUAUAAUAACCCAUGUAAGAGCUCAUUUGGGGAGCUGACU